rnacentral:rRNA from 1 species
GCAGCCGCGGUAAUACGUAGGGGGCGAGCGUUGUCCGGAAUGACUGGGCGUAAAGGGCGUGUAGGCGGCGGUAUAAGUCUGGAGUGAAAGUCCUGCUUUCAAGGUGGGAAUUGCUUUGGAGACUGUACAGCUUGAGUGCGGAAGAGGUAAGUGGAAUUCCCAGUGUAGCGGUGAAAUGCGUAGAGAUUGGGAGGAACACCAGUGGCGAAGGCGACUUACUGGGCCGUAACUGACGCUGAGGCGCGAAAGCGUGGGGAGCGAACAGGAUUAGAUACCCC